rnacentral:tRNA from 1 species
AGGAUAGUUAUGUUGGACGGAUAGCGCGUCAGCCUUCUAAGCUGAAUGUCCUGGGUUCAAAUCCCAGCGGACCCG